CACGAACCCAAACCUAUCUUCCAUUUCUCUCUCAUGCCUACAGUACUCUAAUCUCAUCGCCGUCUCUUAUUUUCUCCUCAAAUCCCCGACAUCGAUCGACACCCACAACGUGGGUUCCUUGAGUCUGGUAUGUUUUAGUUAAUCUCUUAGUUCUUUUGCUUGAUGAAAUUUGCUCAUUUUUUAAUUCUAAUAAUUAUGCAUAUAAAAUUUAUUAUUUGUUGUAAUUUGGAAGGGCUUCAACUAAAUGGAGAAAAGUGAGAUCUGAUAAAUUAUAUAGGUAAAAAUCAUUAUGGGUUUUGUUUUAUUUGUCUUUUUCCUGAGGUUUGGAUUCUUGAACAUUCGAAUUGCUUGUGCUUUUUCUAGUAAUAUUCUAUCGUCUUUUAGUAUUUUGAUUGCGAAGAAUCAUGAGGGCAGAAUCACCCCCUUCGUGAUUCUCAUUAGUAUAUCAUUUUUUUUACAGUUUUACAAAGAAUUUUUCCUUUGAAUAUGCUAUUAAUUGAUUUGAAAAGUUGGGUCUAUUUUGUUAUAUAAUUAGUUGAAAAAUGUUUGCUACUUUUAACCAUUGCUUUGUAUUAGCUUCUUGUUCCCUGGACUCUUAAUGAUUUGUUUUUCUAGUACUCAAUUACUGAAGCAAGUGAGCUAUGAAGGCCUAAAUGUUAUCGUACUAGUAUCUACUUUUUGUUAUAAAGAUCUUUUUUUUUUUUUUUUGUAAACUUGUUAUGAAGUUUAUGAUAAACUACUCAAUGUUGUUUGAUAUGAUAAUUAAUGUUGUUUUACUAUACCUUUUCUAACGAGCAUGGUAGUGUCAAUAACUUUUUUAUAACUUUAAUUAUCACUACAUUUGCCCCCAAAAUUUAAGAAUCUUGGCACUGCCCCUGACUAUACUCAUGUAUCAUGUGUUGAAAAUGAGGAAAUUAUUCAUGGUUGUUUGUGAGGAAACAUUUUUCGGUGUUGGUCUUAUGGUUUUGAGUAUGGAUUGAAGAUUGGAUAUGGUAGUGGUCUGUUUUCCGAAUAUCUUGUUUUCAAUAACCACUAAUUUAUAUUUAUUCUGUUUGUAUGGGCUGCAAAUAUCUUGGAUUUCUGGAUAUGGAAAUUUUUUCACUGAAUGGCUAGUUUUAGAAUUGUACAUUUGUCCCUGUUUUGAUGUUUGUUAGUACGGUCUAUCAUUAUACCAUUGCAUCUUAGUUUUGUGAAGAGAUUGUUUGUUUUCUGGAUAUGCCUACUUUAAUUAACUGCAUAUGGUCUGUUAUUGUCUCUUUUCAGUCAGCCUUCUUUGUAAAUUUAAUCUUUUUCUUUUGUUAAAUCUAGACUAUGAAUUUGAUUUGUGUUUGAACGCACUUGUAACUUUCUUGAUUGUUCUUGAGUUCUCUAAGAUUCAUUAGGCUUUAUGGGUAACUUUCUUUAUUAAAAGUAAAUCUUUUGAUUAUUGAUAGAAAUAGUACUAUUUUAAGGUAUUAGCAAUUUCUUUUUGACAAAGUGCAUGAUGAAUAGAUUAAUAUAUUAGUAAGGAGGAAAUGUAGUAUUGUGCAUAUUAUAUAUACCUUUUGUAAAAACAUUUUUCUAAUCUCUACAUAAAGAGAAGAAAUAAGACCAGCAACAUCGUAGGUAGCAAAUAGUUGUGUUCGAGAAGUCUUAGUUUAACAUGCUUUUAAUUAAGUUAUAAACUGAACCCUACAUUAUCAUCGUUUACAAUGCUAACCUUCGAGAAGUCUUAGUUUAACAUGCUUUUAAUUAUUUUGUAUGUAUAAUAGCUAAUGUUAUUCCAAAUUCUUUGUGUUGGCAGAUAUCUGGUUAUCUACCUAUAGUUAUAAAUUUGGGCUGAAUGAUGUAUGUAUAUGAAGUUCAUAUAUGUAUAAGUUGAUUGAUUUCUUGAUGUGGAUACAUAAUAGUUAGUUUUAAUCUUUUUUCAAGUGUGUUCAUAGGUCUAGGAUUGACCAUCUUGUUCCAAGACUUAAAAAGCCCCCUUCAAAUUGGGAAUUUUCAUCGUAUUGCAACUUGAUAACUUUAUAAUAUGAAUUUAUAAAUAAUCUAGAUUUAGAAAUCCUCAUCGGCAAGUAGAGAAUGUAAAAUAGAAUAUCUAAAAUCCUCUUACUGGAGUCCAAUUAGGCUUUUUUGUACUGCACUUUUCAAAUUUUUAGCAUAAAUGUUGAAGUUUACCACUUUGUAACUUUUCACUUGUCGCCCUUCUUUACUUUGGAUAUCACACAAUUACUUAUUAUUUCCUAUCUUAUGUUGAUAUGUCUCCUAGAUUCCGCAGGAUGUGUUCAAUCUACUUCCAAAUUUGAAUGCGUUUGAACUAAUUAAAGUUCUUGCAGGUAAAUUAGCUAGUAGUCAAUUGUUAUUUACAUUUUUUUUUCUCUUUUUUGACAACUGCAUUAUGCAUUAGGAUUCAUGAGGCCUAAAUGUUAUUAUGCCUAGGCACCAAGUACCAUUAAAAUGAAAGUUGAAAGCAUUUUCUUCAAAUAUAUAGUGUUCUUUUUUCUUAAAUUUGAAUUCCAAUUGCUUGAUUUGAAUAAAUUGAAGCAUCAAGUAGGUAGUAGCAUGUACUUAUUGAAGCCUCAGAGUGGAAAGUUAAAAGCAUUUUGUUCAUCUAUUUUUUUUCAUGAAAUCACUGAUAUAAAUGUUGUUUUCAUUUGUUUUGAUUUGUAGAUGAGUAUGAUACACCGAUAUAAAAUUUUGGAGGAGGAACGUGUUUUGGCCCAUGUGUCGCAAGUGAGCAACACAAAAUACAUAGCAGUUGUCCUCAACAAAUUGGAUUCGCAACAAAAACGUCAGUUGGAGGAGAGUUGUAUAGGACAUGUUGCAAGGUUAUCGGAGCCGAAAAUAUCCGCACAAUUAAUUCAUGAAAUGGUAAACAGAUCGGUGGUUUGCCGAAAGCGGUUUGAGGCUUGGUUCAAGGUAAACCAAAGGUUCGCACGAUUUAGAUUGCCAGAGUUCACAUUAAUCACCGACUUGAAGUGCGGUCCAGAGCCUAAAGGUACCUAAGUUGACAAAAUCCUAGAGAAAACCCGUUUACAGGACAGAAUGUUUGCUAAUAUAAAUCGGAUAACUUGUAGCAACUUGGAGAAAGUUUUCUUGAAAUGUGCCAACCGUAAUGAUUGUUACAAGCUUGGGUUUGCACUAAUUAUUGAAUGGGGUAUUUAAUUUAAGAGACCGAAAUGUAGGAAUACAUCCGACAACUCUCUCCAUCAUUGACAACUUUGAUUUCUUCAAUGGCUACUCAUAGGGGACGGUAUGUUUUCAACUUCUUAUCAAAUCACUGCUACGUAGAUGGGAAAGAAAGGCGGACAUGACAAAAGUGAACGAUUGUGAUAGGAUGACUUACACGUUGUACGGAUUUCCUCUUGCCCUCCAGGUAUACAUCUAUUUUGGUUCAUUUCAGUUCUUUUCAUCACACAUUGUUAUUUACCUCCGAAUAUGAUUAUUAUUGUUAUAAAUGUCAUGCAGGUUUGGGCGUAUGAGGCAAUCCCAGAGUUGGGAGCUCUAUUCUCGAGUAAGAUUUGUGACGAUGUUCCGAUGAUGUUGCGGUGGUCUGGCAGGAAAAAUCCUCAUUCCCGAACAUAUUCAAAUUUUUUUGAGAAGACAGAUGUGAGUGAUUUACAUACGUAAUUGCCUUACACUUUCGCAAUAUAUAAUAUUUAAUUUCGCUCAUUUUUCCUUUCCCUGUAGGUGCACUUGUGGGUAACACUGCGGGCAACUGCUGCAGAAGAAUUGUAACCGUACUUCGUUGAUCUAGUUCCGUUAGAAGAUGUAGCUGACCCCGUUCUAAAUAGUCUUGUUGCUCAAUCAAUAGAAAUACAAGCUUGUCUAGUUGAAGAUGAUGUUAUAUGGAACGAUGACAAUAACCAUUGACCAAAUAAAUCUCAGAGAGACGACAAAGGUGGACUUCAUCAUCGAGGUUUGCAUCACGUUGAAGGUAGAGAAGAAGAGCAUGGGGAUCCGAUCAUCGAAAGGCAUGUGUCUUUAAAUGAGAUAAGAGCUCUCUUGAACGAACAACGGGAGGCAUUUGAGAGCAAGAUGGGCAAUUUGAGGGAGGAGAUGAACACAAGAUUCGCUAGUCUCCAAAAUGAUCUAGGAGAUUAUGUGUGUGGUUUGAGAAAUCAUGUCACUGAUGAGAUAAAUAUGCUCUGACGAAGGUUUGAUGAAGUUGCAAUAGAAAUUGGGCAACACAAUGUUGCUGAUGAGUAUGAUGGAUUUGGUCAUAACGAUCGCGGUAGAGAUGAGCCCCAACCACGUGAUAUUUUUACUCCCAAUAUUUUUGCGGAUGACAGGAUGUCGGAGAGGCUAUCGAAGCAGUUGUUUGCAAUAUUCCUAAUGUGUCCAUAACGUCGAAAGGUGGGUUUGGAGUUCUUAGGUCAGUUUACGUCGCUUGUGAUAUUGUGGAGAAGGCACCAACCAUUGUACCUACAGCUGAUGCGUCCAUUGCUAGUCCACCUACACGCAGACCUCGAUCAUUCAGGUUGGGGUAAGAGGGAUGCGUAGUUUGUGUAUUUUGAUUGACGAUAGAUAAUGGUGAUUGGAUAUGAACUUUAUGUUGAUUCAAAUUAACUAGUUUGCAUAUUUUGAUUUGAUGUUUUGAUGCGCAAUAAGUAUUGUGGUUUAUAUGGUGGUAUUUGGUCAUGUAUUUUGGUACACUUGCAAUAUGAAAUAUCAAGCUUUAGGUUGAUUCAAAUUUAGUGGUUUGUAUUCUUUUGAUUUAUAUGGUGGUAUGCAAUAUGAACAUGGG
rnacentral:lncRNA from 1 species